AUGCAAGUCGAGGGGUAACAGGGGAGCUUGCUUCCGCUGACGACCGGCGAACGGGUGCGUAACGCGUAUAGAAUCUGCCUUGUACAGGAGGAUAGCCUUUAGAAAUGAAGAUUAAUACUCCAUAAUAUUGAGAAGUGGCAUCACUUUUUAAUUAAACAUUUAUGGGUACAAGAUGACUAUGCGUCCUAUUAGCUAGAUGGUAAGGUAACGGCUUACCAUGGCAACGAUAGGUAGGGGGUCUGAGAGGAUUAUCCCCCACACUGGUACUGAGACACGGACCAGACUCCUACGGGAGGCAGCAGUGAGGAAUAUUGGUCAAUGGAGGCAACUCUGAACCAGCCAUGCCGCGUGCAGGAUGACUGCCCUAUGGGUUGUAAACUGCUUUUAUACAGGAAGAAACAGUCGUACGUGUACGGCCUUGACGGUACUGUAAGAAUAAGCACCGGCUAACUCCGUGCCAGCAGCCGCGGUAAUACGGAGGGUGCAAGCGUUAUCCGGAAUCAUUGGGUUUAAAGGGUCCGCAGGCGGUCAAUUAAGUCAGAGGUGAAAUCCCAUAGCUUAACUAUGG
rnacentral:rRNA from 1 species